GAGGGGUGUACUCACUUUUGUGAGAUAAUGUGUGUAUAUAUAUAUAUAUAUAUAUAUACACACAUUAUAUAUAUAUACACACAUUAUCUCACAAAAGUGAGUACACCCC
rnacentral:miRNA from 1 species